UACGUAGGGUGCAAGCGUUGUCCGGAAUUACUGGGCGUAAAGAGUUCGUAGGCGGUUUGUCGCGUCGUUUGUGAAAACCAGCAGCUCAACUGCUGGCUUGCAGGCGAUACGGGCAGACUUGAGUACUGCAGGGGAGACUGGAAUUCCAGGUGUAGCGGUGAAAUGCGUAGAGAUCUGGAGGAACACCGGUGGCGAAGGCGGGUCUCUGGGCCGAUAUUGGACGCUGAGGAGCGAAAGCGUGGGGAGCGAACAGG
rnacentral:rRNA from 1 species